AUGGACCAUCCAGAAGACCAAAGAGAUUUGCCACGCGGGAGUCAAGGUCGGCGAGGUCAAGAACCUGUCCUUCAAGAAGAAGGGCAAGUCCACCGGCUGGAUCAUGGAGGAGUACCGGUGCCUGCUGCCGGAGGCCACCGUCAGCGACGGGGUGAAGGUCUUCUGCAAGAUGCACUUGGCUCAGCAUGCCCCUGA
rnacentral:rRNA from 1 species